rnacentral:rRNA from 1 species
UACAGAGGGUGCUAGCGUUGUUCGGAAUCAUUGGGCGUAAAGGGCGUGUAGGCGGUUUGUUAAGUCAUGUGUGAAAUCCCUCGGCUCAACCGGGGAACGACGCAUGAAACUGGCAAGCUAGAGUACCAAAGAGGGGGGUGGAAUUCCUGGUGUAGCGGUGAAAUGCGCAGAUAUCAGGAAGAACACCCGUGGCGAAGGCGGUUCUCUGGGACGGUACUGACGCUGGAGACGCGAAAGCGUGGGGAGCGAACAGG